AUUGAACGCUGGCGGCAUGCCUUACACAUGCAAGUCGAACGGUAACAGGUCUUCGGAUGCUGACGAGUGGCGAACGGGUGAGUAAUACAUCGGAACGUGCCUAGUAGUGGGGGACAACUACUCGAAAGAGUGGCUAAUACCGCAUGAGAUCUACGGAUGAAAGCAGGGGAUCGCAAGACCUUGUGCUACUAGAGCGGCCGAUGGCAGGUUAGGUAGGUGGUGGGAUAAAAGCUUACCAAGCCGACGAUCUGUAGCUGGUCUGAGAGGACGAUCAGCCACACUGGGACUGAGACACGGCCCAGACUCCUACGGGAGGCAGCAGUGGGGAAUUUUGGACAAUGGGCGCAAGCCUGAUCCAGCAAUGCCGCGUGCAGGAUGAAGGCCUUCGGGUUGUAAACUGCUUUUGUACGGAACGAAAAGCCCUGGGUUAAUACCCUGGGGUCAUGACGGUACCGUAAGAAUAAGCACCGGCUAACUACGUGCCAGCCGCCGCCGUAACAC
rnacentral:rRNA from 1 species